rnacentral:rRNA from 1 species
CGAAUCAUCUGGAAAGAUGAAUCAAAGAAGGUAAUAAUCCUGUAGUCGAAAAUGUUGUCUCUCUUGAGUGGAUCCUGAGUACGACGGAGCACGUGAAAUUCCGUCGGAAUCUGGGAGGACCAUCUCCUAAGGCUAAAUACUCUCUAGUGACCGAUAGUGAACCAGUACCGUGAGGGAAAGGUGAAAAGCACCCCGGAAGGGGAGUGAAAUAGAACCUGAAACCGUGUGCUUACAAGUAGUCAGAGCCCGUUAAUGGGUGAUGGCGUGCCUUUUGUAGAAUGAACCGGCGAGUUACGAUUUGAUGCAAGGUUAAGCAGUAAAUGUGGAGCCGUAGCGAAAGCGAGUCUGAAUAGGGCGUUUAGUAUUUGGUCGUAGACCCGAAACCAGGUGAUCUACCCUUGGUCAGGUUGAAGUUCAGGUAACACUGAAUGGAGGACCGAACCGACUUACGUUGAAAAGUGAGCGGAUGAACUGAGGGUAGCGGAGAAAUUCCAAUCGAACCUGGAGAUAGCUGGUUCUCUCCGAAAUAGCUUUAGGGCUAGCCUCAAGUGAUGAUUAUUGGAGGUAGAGCACUGUUUGGACGAGGGGCCCCUCUCGGGUUACCGAAUUCAGACAAACUCCGAAUGCCAAUUAAUUUAACUUGGGAGUCAGAACAUGGGUGAUAAGGUCCGUGUUCGAAAGGGAAACAGCCCAGACCACCAGCUAAGGUCCCAAAAUAUAUGUUAAGUGGAAAAGGAUGUGGCGUUGCCCAGACAACUAGGAUGUUGGCUUAGAAGCAGCCAUCAUUUAAAGAGUGCGUAAUAGCUCACUAGUCGAGUGACACUGCGCCGAAAAUGUACCGGGGCUAAACAUAUUACCGAAGCUGUGGAUUGUCCUUUGGACAAUGGUAGGAGAGCGUUCUAAGGGCGUUGAAGCAUGAUCGUAAGGACAUGUGGAGCGCUUAGAAGUGAGAAUGCCGGUGUGAGUAGCGAAAGACGGGUGAGAAUCCCGUCCACCGAUUGACUAAGGUUUCCAGAGGAAGGCUCGUCCGCUCUGGGUUAGUCGGGUCCUAAGCUGAGGCCGACAGGCGUAGGCGAUGGAUAACAGGUUGAUAUUCCUGUACCACCUAUAAUCGUUUUAAUCGAUGGGGGGACGCAGUAGGAUAGGCGAAGCGUGCGAUUGGAUUGCACGUCUAAGCAGUAAGGCUGAGUAUUAGGCAAAUCCGGUACUCGUUAAGGCUGAGCUGUGAUGGGGAGAAGACAUUGUGUCUUCGAGUCGUUGAUUUCACACUGCCUAGAAAAGCCUCUAGAUAGAAAAUAGGUGCCCGUACCGCAAACCGACACAGGUAGUCAAGAUGAGAAUUCUAAGGUGAGCGAGCGAACUCUCGUUAAGGAACUCGGCAAAAUGACCCCGUAACUUCGGGAGAAGGGGUGCUCUUUAGGGUUAACGCCCAGAAGAGCCGCAGUGAAUAGGCCCAAGCGACUGUUUAUCAAAAACACAGGUCUCUGCUAAACCGUAAGGUGAUGUAUAGGGGCUGACGCCUGCCCGGUGCUGGAAGGUUAAGAGGAGUGGUUAGCUUCUGCGAAGCUACGAAUCGAAGCCCCAGUAAACGGCGGCCGUAACUAUAACGGUCCUAAGGUAGCGAAAUUCCUUGUCGGGUAAGUUCCGACCCGCACGAAAGGCGUAACGAUUUGGGCACUGUCUCAACGAGAGACUCGGUGAAAUCAUAGUACCUGUGAAGAUGCAGGUUACCCGCGACAGGACGGAAAGACCCCGUGGAGCUUUACUGUAGCCUGAUAUUGAAAUUCGGCACAGCUUGUACAGGAUAGGUAGGAGCCUUUGAAACGUGAGCGCUAGCUUACGUGGAGGCGCUGGUGGGAUACUACCCUA